CUAACUUAUUAAAACAACUAUUUGACCUACAUGUGUCAAACUAAUAAACGCGAUUACGUCAAUAAUUUUUGCUUUGAUUUUUUCCCCUAUUUUUUUAUAACUACUAUUGGAACUAAAGGCGUCAAGCCAAGGUGAUAUUCGUAUACAUCUGGUCUGUAAAUUAUUCUUAAAUAUCUAUCUAAAAACUAUUAUGGAAUCUACAGGUAUAAACUCAAGGCAAUCUCAAGCACGUUUUUGCUAAGAAUCAUCAAUAAUAUUUUACGAAAAACUGCAAUUUUUAUUGGAAAAUAAUGGUUCGAAUGAAAUAAUCAAUAGCAUCCCUAAGGAAAGCCAGUACCACAAAAAAAAAAAAAAAAACAUUCAUAGAGUACUGGAACUCUCUGUUUUAGUACCAUAACAGAAUGCAUUUAGUUAUCUAAAAUAUACUUGUAUAUUUGUCUCAUAUCGGA
rnacentral:lncRNA from 1 species